rnacentral:lncRNA from 1 species
CUCCUUAUCCAAUUCUUCCGGAUCUUUCUCAUUCCACGAUUCUACCCGUCAUGUGGUACCGGAACCGGAAAUUUACCGAGGUUUGCCGGAAAGUAAUGCAUUCUCGUAAAUAUUAGGCCAGGCAAGGGCCUUUGUUUUCCCUAGCGAGCUUCCAGCUUUCUCUCUUCCAGGUCUUAUCACCCGCCCGUGAACUUACCUGCACAAUUUAACUACGAGAGAUAAGUACAGU